CUUGACCCCUACUCGAUAUAUGUAGUAUUCUCAUUCUAUUUUGCAAGAUCCUCGGCCUCAGAACAUUCUGAUUUCAUACCUUUCGUACAUACUUUAAGGUUAAGCGUCACUGAUGAAUUGACUUUCGAUCAUUGCAAAUUCACAAUGCUAAUUUGCUAAUUCAAGCGGUUACUUUGACGUAUCAACAAAACAAUGCCAACGUUAACAGUUCAUUCAUCGUUGUCAACAGUAUCCUGGGGUCUUCCACGAGACCAGCGCCAACCAUUGCUCCGG